rnacentral:rRNA from 1 species
UACGAAGGGUGCAAGCGUUAAUCGGAAUUACUGGGCGUAAAGCGCGCGUAGGUGGUUUGUUAAGUUGGAUGUGAAAGCCCCGGGCUCAACCUGGGAACUGCAUCCAAAACUGGCAAGCUAGAGUAUGGCAGAGGGUGGUGGAAUUUCCUGUGUAGCGGUGAAAUGCGUAGCUCGAGGAAGGAACACCAGUGGCGAAGGCGACCACCUGGGAUAAUACUUACACUGAGUUGCGCAAGCGUGGUUAGCCAACAGUAUUAGAUACCCCGGUAGUCC